UUAGCGGCGGACGGGUGAGUAACACGUGAGGAACCUGCUUUUCAGAGGGGGAUAACGUUUGGAAACGAACGCUAAUACCGCAUAAAGUAUAGAUACGGCAUCGUAUUUAUACCAAAGGAGCAAUCCACUGAAAGAUGGCCUCGCGGCUGAUUAGCUAGUUGGCGGGGUAAUGGCCCACCAAGGCGACGAUCAGUAGCCGGACUGAGAGGUUGAACGGCCACAUUGGGACUGAGACACGGCCCAGACUCCUACGGGAGGCAGCAGUGGGGGAUAUUGCACAAUGGGCGAAAGCCUGAUGCAGCGAUGCCGCGUGAAGGAUGAAGGUCUUCGGAUUGUAAACUUCUUUGAUUGGGGACGAUAAUGACGGUACCCAAGGAACAAGCCACGGCUAACUACGUGCCAACAGCCGCGGUAAUACGUAGGGGGCGAGCGUUGUCCGGAAUUACUGGGUGUAAAGGGCGUGUAGGCGGGGAAGCAAGUCAGAUGUGAAAUUCCGGGGCUCAACCCCGGCGCUGCAUCUGAAACUGUUUCUCUUGAGUGCUGGAGAGGAAAGCGGAAUUCCCAGUGUAGCGGUGAAAUGCGUAGAUAUUAGGAGGAACACCAGUGGCGAAGGCGGCUUUCUGGACAGUAACUGACGCUGAGGCGCGAAAGCGUGGGGAGCGAACAGGAUUAGAUACCCUGGUAGUCCACGCCGUAAACGAUGGAUACUAGGUGUAGGAGGUAUCGACCCCUCCUGUGCCGGAGUUAACGCAAUAAGUACCCCGCCUGGGGAGUACGGCCGCAAGGUUGAAACUCAAAGGAAUUGACGGGGGCCCGCACAAGCGGUGGAGUAUGUGGUUUAAU
rnacentral:rRNA from 1 species